GAUGAACGCUGGCGGCGUGCCUAAUACAUGCAAGUCGAGCGAACAGACAAGGAGCUUGCUCCUUUGACGUUAGCGGCGGACGGGUGAGUAACACGUGGGUAACCUACCUAUAAGACUGGGAUAACUUCGGGAAACCGGAGCUAAUACCGGAUAAUAUUUCGAACCGCAUGGUUCGAUAGUGAAAGAUGGUUUUGCUAUCACUUAUAGAUGGACCCGCGCCGUAUUAGCUAGUUGGUAAGGUAACGGCUUACCAAGGCGACGAUACGUAGCCGACCUGAGAGGGUGAUCGGCCACACUGGAACUGAGACACGGUCCAGACUCCUACGGGAGGCAGCAGUAGGGAAUCUUCCGCAAUGGGCGAAAGCCUGACGGAGCAACGCCGCGUGAGUGAUGAAGGUCUUCGGAUCGUAAAACUCUGUUGUUAGGGAAGAACAUACGUGUAAGUAACUAUGCACGUCUUGACGGUACCUAAUCAGAAAGCCACGGCUAACUACGUGCCAGCAGCCGCGGUAAUACGUAGGUGGCAAGCGUUAUCCGGAAUUAUUGGGCGUAAAGCGCGCGUAGGCGGUUUUUUAAGUCUGAUGUGAAAGCCCACGGCUCAACCGUGGAGGGUCAUUGGAAACUGGAAAACUUGAGUGCAGAAGAGGAAAGUGGAAUUCCAUGUGUAGCGGUGAAAUGCGCAGAGAUAUGGAGGAACACCAGUGGCGAAGGCGACUUUCUGGUCUGUAACUGACGCUGACGUGCGAAAGCGUGGGGAUCAAACAGGAUUAGAUACCCUGGUAGUCCACGCCGUAAACGAUGAGUGCUAAGUGUUAGGGGGUUUCCGCCCCUUAGUGCUGCAGCUAACGCAUUAAGCACUCCGCCUGGGGAGUACGACCGCAAGGUUGAAACUCAAAGGAAUUGACGGGGACCCGCACAAGCGGUGGAGCAUGUGGUUUAAUUCGAAGCAACGCGAAGAACCUUACCAAAUCUUGACAUCCUUUGACAACUCUAGAGAUAGAGCCUUCCCCUUCGGGGGACAAAGUGACAGGUGGUGCAUGGUUGUCGUCAGCUCGUGUCGUGAGAUGUUGGGUUAAGUCCCGCAACGAGCGCAACCCUUAAGCUUAGUUGCCAUCAUUAAGUUGGGCACUCUAAGUUGACUGCCGGUGACAAACCGGAGGAAGGUGGGGAUGACGUCAAAUCAUCAUGCCCCUUAUGAUUUGGGCUACACACGUGCUACAAUGGACAAUACAAAGGGCAGCGAAACCGCGAGGUCAAGCAAAUCCCAUAAAGUUGUUCUCAGUUCGGAUUGUAGUCUGCAACUCGACUACAUGAAGCUGGAAUCGCUAGUAAUCGUAGAUCAUCAUGCUACGGUGAAUACGUUCCCGGGUCU
rnacentral:rRNA from 1 species